GACGAACGCUGGCGGCGUGCUUAACACAUGCAAGUCGAACGGUGAAGCGCCUUCCUUUUUGGUGGGUGUGGAUGAGUGGCGAACGGGUGAGUAACACGUGAGUAACCUGCCCCCUUCUUCUGGAUAACCGCAUGAAAGUGUGGCUAAUACGGGAUAUUCUGGGUCUGUCGCAUGAUGGGUCUGGGAAAGAUAUUGUUUCGGUGGGGGAUGGGCUCGCGGCCUAUCAGCUUGUUGGUGGGGUGAUGGCCUACCAAGGCGGUGACGGGUAGCCGGCCUGAGAGGGUGGACGGUCACACUGGGACGGAGACACGGCCCAGACUCCUACGGGAGGCAGCAGUGGGGAAUAUUGCACAAUGGGCGCAAGCCUGAUGCAGCGACGCCGCGUGAGGGAUGGAGGCCUUCGGGUUGCGAACCUCUUUCGCCAGUGAAGCAGGCCUGCCUCGUUUGUGGGUGGGUUGACGGUAGCUGGAGAAGAAGCGCCGGCUAACUACGUG
rnacentral:rRNA from 1 species